UACGAAGGGGGCUAGCGUUGCUCGGAAUCACUGGGCGUAAAGAGCUCGUAGGCGGUGUGUCGCGUCGGCCGUGAAAACCUACAGCUUAACUGUGGGCUUGCGGUCGAUACGGGCAUCACUGGAGUUCGGCAGGGGAGACUGGAAUUCCUGGUGUAGCGGUGAAAUGCGCAGAUAUCAGGAGGAACACCGAUGGCGAAGGCAGGUCUCUGGGCAUUAACUGACGCUGAGGAGCGAAAGCAUGGGGAGCGAACAGG
rnacentral:rRNA from 1 species